CCUACGGGUGGCAGCAGUGAGGAAUAUUGGUCAAUGGACGAGAGUCUGAACCAGCCAAGUAGCGUGAAGGAUGACUGCCCUAUGGGUUGUAAACUUCUUUUAUAUGGGAAUAAAACGUUCCACGUGUGUGAUUUUGUAUGUCCCAUAUGAUUACGGAACGGCUAACUCCGUGCCAGCAGCCGCGGUAAUACGGAUGUUCCGAGCGUUAUCCGGAUUUAUUGGGUUUAAAGGGAGCGUAGGUGGAUUGUUAAGUCAGUGGGGAAAGUUUGCGGCUCAACCGUAAAAUUGCAGUUGAAACUGGCAGGCUUGAGUACAGUAGAGGUAAGCGGAAUUCGUGGUGUAGCGGUGAAAUGCUUAGAUAUCACGAAGAACUCCGAUGGCGAAGGCAGUUCACUGGACUGCAACUGACACUGAGGCUCGAAAGUGUGGGUAGCAAACAGGAUUAGAUACCCUUGUAGUC
rnacentral:rRNA from 1 species